GGUCUAUUAGCUCAGUUGGGAGAGCGUCUGGGUGACAACCAGAAGGUCAUUGGUUCAAGUCCAAUAUAGGCCACCA
rnacentral:tRNA from 1 species